GCUUACGGCCAUACCAGCCCAAGAAUGCCAGAUCUCGUCCGAUCUCGGAAGCUAAGAAGGCUUGGGCCUGGUUAGUACUUUAAUGGGAGACCUCCUGGGAAUACCAGGUGCUGUAAGCU
ensembl:rRNA 5S_rRNA 5S ribosomal RNA